CUGGCUCAGGAUGAACGCUGGCGGCGUGCCUAAUACAUGCAAGUCGAGCGAACGGACGAGAAGCUUGCUUCUCUGAUGUUAGCGGCGGACGGGUGAGUAACACGUGGAUAACCUACCUAUAAGACUGGGAUAACUUCGGGAAACCGGAGCUAAUACCGGAUAAUAUUUUGAACCGCAUGGUUCAAAAGUGAAAGACGGUCUUGCUGUCACUUAUAGAUGGAUCCGCGCUGCAUUAGCUAGUUGGUAAGGUAACGGCUUACCAAGGCAACGAUGCAUAGCCGACCUGAGAGGGUGAUCGGCCACACUGGAACUGAGACACGGUCCAGACUCCUACGGGAGGCAGCAGUAGGGAAUCUUCCGCAAUGGGCGAAAGCCUGACGGAGCAACGCCGCGUGAGUGAUGAAGGUCUUCGGAUCGUAAAACUCUGUUAUUAGGGAAGAACAUAUGUGUAAGUAACUGUGCACAUCUUGACGGUACCUAAUCAGAAAGCCACGGCUAACUACGUGCCAGCAGCCGCGGUAAUACGUAGGUGGCAAGCGUUAUCCGGAAUUAUUGGGCGUAAAGCGCGCGUAGGCGGUUUUUUAAGUCUGAUGUGAAAGCCCACGGCUCAACCGUGGAGGGUCAUUGGAAACUGGAAAACUUGAGUGCAGAAGAGGAAAGUGGAAUUCCAUGUGUAGCGGUGAAAUGCGCAGAGAUAUGGAGGAACACCAGUGGCGAAGGCGACUUUCUGGUCUGUAACUGACGCUGAUGUGCGAAAGCGUGGGGAUCAAACAGGAUUAGAUACCCUGGUAGUCCACGCCGUAAACGAUGAGUGCUAAGUGUUAGGGGGUUUCCGCCCCUUAGUGCUGCAGCUAACGCAUUAAGCACUCCGCCUGGGGAGUACGACCGCAAGGUUGAAACUCAAAGGAAUUGACGGGGACCCGCACAAGCGGUGGAGCAUGUGGUUUAAUUCGAAGCAACGCGAAGAACCUUACCAAAUCUUGACAUCCUUUGACAACUCUAGAGAUAGAGCCUUCCCCUUCGGGGGACAAAGUGACAGGUGGUGCAUGGUUGUCGUCAGCUCGUGUCGUGAGAUGUUGGGUUAAGUCCCGCAACGAGCGCAACCCUUAAGCUUAGUUGCCAU
rnacentral:rRNA from 1 species